GUGAGGAAUAUUGGACAAUGGGCGCAAGCCUGAUCCAGCCAUGCCGCGUGCAGGAAGACGCAUCUAUGGUGUGUAAACUGCUUUUGUACGGGAAGAAACACUCCCUCGUGAGGGAGCUAGACGGUACCGUAAGAAUAAGGAUCGGCUAACUCCGUGCCAGCAGCCGCGGUAAUACGGAGGAUCCAAGCGUUAUCCGGAAUCAUUGGGUUUAAAGGGUCCGUAGGCGGUUUAAUAAGUCAGUGGUGAAAGCCCAUCGCUCAACGAUGGAACGGCCAUUGAUACUGUUAGACUUGAAUUACAAGGAAGUAACUAGAAUAUGUAGUGUAGCGGUGAAAUGCUUAGAUAUUACAUGGAAUACCAAUUGCGAAGGCAGGUUACUACUUGUGGAUUGACGCUGAUGGACGAAAGCGUGGGGAGCGAACAGGAUUAGAUACCCUUGUAGUCC
rnacentral:rRNA from 1 species